CGGGCAGGAAAAUGUGUUUGAAACCGUGCGGUUUCGCCACGGGGAGGACCUCCCGGGCCUAAGGGACGCGUGGGUCGUACGCCCUCCGCCGCUCCCCAGCGACCCGAUUAGUUUCGGGCCUAAGGGAUGCGUGGGGUGUCUGCCCUCUGCCUCUCCCCAGUAACCCGAGUCGUUCCGUCCCUGCGGCGUCCCCCCAGCGCGGCGGCUGCGUGCCCUUCUCUGCUGUCG